UUGGGUGUUUCUUCUUCCUCCUCAUCAGAGCUAUCCUCGCUAUCAUCAGAGGAGUCAUCACCAUCCUCACUGUCAUCCUACAAUAAUAUGUGACAAACAGCUUCAGUCAACCAUAAAUCAAUACAAAUCUACAAUAAUAAUAGGUAGAUUAACAAUUUCAGCCAAGCAUCAAUUCAUAUGCAUGUAUGUGUACCAUAAUAGGUAGAUUAACAAUUUCAGCCAAGCAUCAAUUCAUAUGCAUGUAUGUGUACCAUAAUAGGUAGAUUAACAAUUUCAGCCAAGCAUCAAUUCAUAUGCAUGUAUGUGUACCAUAAUAGGUAGAUUAACAAUUUCAGCCAAGCAUCAAUUCAUAUGCAUAUCGACCAUAAUAGGUGAUUAACAAUUUCAGUCAAGCAUCAAUCUAUAUGCAUAUCUACCACAAUAGGUGAAAAACAAUUUCAGUCAAGCAUAAAUAAAUCUACACAAAUCCAGAACAGGCCAUGUAAUUAACAUAAACAAAGUAUGGGGUGUCAGUCAAUUAACUCACAGAAUCAUCCUCCAUGGGAAUCAAUGCUCCAUCAUCACCAGAGUCAUCUUCGCUGUCAUCCUCAUCACUGUCAUCAUCAUCAUCGCUGUCAUCAUCCUUCUUAGAUUUUCCCACAUCCUUGGCAGCGGCCUUUGACUUUGAAGGCGCAGCAGUGUCAAUCUUAACCUGCUUCUUCUGCUCCUUGG
rnacentral:lncRNA from 1 species